ACUCAAAUGAAUAGACGGGGGCCCGCACAAGCAGCGGAGCGUGUGGUUUAAUUCGACGCAACACGCAGAACCUUACCUAGGCUUGACAUGCACCUGCUAGCUGUGGAAACACAGUUCCUUCGAGGGUGGUGCACCGGUGCUGCAUGGCUGUCGUCAGCUCGUGUCGUGAGAUGUUGGGUUAAGUCCCGCAACGAGCGCAACCCUUGCCUCAUGUUACCUGUGUCAUGAGGGACUGCCGGUGCGUUGCACCGGAGGAAGGCGGGGAUGACGUCAAGUCCGCAUGGCCCCUACGCCUAGGGCGACACACACGCUACAAUGGCCGGCGGAAUGCGCAGCGACCUUGUAAAGGGGAGCUAAUCGCGAAGGUCGGUCUCAGUUCAGAUUGAGGGCUGCAACUUGCCCUCAUGAAGGCGGAGUUGCUAGUAACCGCGUGUCAGCAGAGCGCGGUGAAUACGUACCCGGGCCUUGCACACACCGCCCGU
rnacentral:rRNA from 1 species